GCAGACUUAGCUCAAUGGUAGAGUACCUUGCAUGUACUGAGGGGUUGCAGGUUUAAGUCCUGUGGUCCACA
rfam:Puccinia sorghi strain RO10H11247 Scaffold_3611, whole genome shotgun sequence.